UCAAAAACCAAAUCAAAUAGACGAACUAAGCAUACGUACCUAAGUAUUCAUUGUAUGAAACAUGAAAAUUACUAUAGAACAAAAAGGGCAAAAAAUAGUUGUUCUUUGUUAGAGCAGAGUUGCAGAUAAUAGUCAUAGAUUUCGAUAACAUUCCAUCUAGAAUAACCACAUCACUCAAGCACAAACGGAAAGGGUCCAUGACCAUGCUUCCACCGCUUCUCUGAAUUUUUUCCAAAAUUUUAUCCAAAUUUGUUUGGACCCAGCUUAUGUUCGCAAAAGACGCGGCAUUAAAAUAAUGCAAACGUAUCAUAUCGUUUUGUUCAAGAAUUUAAUUUUCUAAAAAGUUAAAAAUACCCAUUUUAAAAAUCUUAAUUUUCUAAAAUUACCCUUCAAAUAAAAAAAUACUAAUUUUUGCCCAUCUUUUUACAGUUUUUGAUGGGCAAAAAAUGUAUUGAUACCUGUAUAAAUAUUUAUAAAAGUGUAUUUAAAUAUGUGAGAAGUUUGUAUUGACUACCCCUCAUCUUGUUAGAGGGACUGUUUGAAAAUCACUUAAAAGUAAAAAAUAAAAAAUAUCACAGUAAUUCAAAAGCGAAGAGACAAAAGAAAAAUGUUACAAUACUUUGAUAGUCGAUUUUUUAAAUGAAUAAACAUUAUGAGAUAUUAAAAAUGAAAUCGACAAACAAAAUGUGAAUAAACAUUUCAAGUUGUUCUCAUAGGAACACUUGCCAAAUUUGAUUAGUAACCAACUGUUGACAGAGUAAAAAUCCAAUAAAAAGAUGAUUAUCACGCUAUCAAUAACACGUUGUAGGGAAUAGUUUAACUAAAUAGAAGAAUAUUUAGAUAAUUUAACCUGAUUAAAAAAAAGAGAGGAGAGGAGAGGAGAGGAUGAUAAAAACAUACCUGCAUACACAACCCAAGAAUUGAGAGGUUGAUUUGUAGAGAAUGCACUGUGAGAGAGAGAGAAAGGUGGAGUGAAAUGGCUGGGAUGGAGAGGUUGAUUUGUAGUGAUGGUGCACAGAGGGAACUGCUUCUCGGAACAUCCCAUCUCAGAAAAAUGAGAGAGAGAGGACAGAGAGAGGGAGAGUGCUAAC
rnacentral:lncRNA from 1 species